GACGAACGCUGGCGGCGUGCUUAACACAUGCAAGUCGAACGGAAAGGCCUUUUCGGAGGUACUCGAGUGGCGAACGGGUGAGUAACACGUGGGUGAUCUGCCCUGCACUCUGGGAUAAGCCUGGGAAACUGGGUCUAAUACCGGAUAGGACCGCACUUUAGUGUGUGUGGUGGAAAGUUUUUUCGGUGUAGGAUGAGCCCGCGGCCUAUCAGCUUGUUGGUGGGGUAAUGGCCUACCAAGGCGGCGACGGGUAGCCGGACUGAGAGGUUGGUCGGCCACAUUGGGACUGAGAUACGGCCCAGACUCCUACGGGAGGCAGCAGUGGGGAAUAUUGCACAAUGGGCGCAAGCCUGAUGCAGCGGCGCCGCGUGGGGGAUGACGGCCUUCGGGUUGUAAACUCCUUUCGCCAGGGACGAAGCGUUUUGUGACGGUACCUGGAGAAGAAGCACCGGCUAACUACGUG
rnacentral:rRNA from 1 species